rnacentral:rRNA from 1 species
AGACAAUAGAUACCCUGGUAGUCCACGCCCUAAACGAUGUCUACUAGUUGUUGGUGGAGUAAAAUCCAUGAGUAAACGCAGCUAACGCGUGAAGUAGACCGCCUGGGGAGUACGGUCGCAAGAUUAAAACUCAAAGGAAUUGACGGGGGCCCGCACAAGCGGUGGAUUAUGUGGAUUAAUUCGAUGCAACGCGAAAAACCUUACCUGGCCUUGACAUGCCACUAACGAAGCAGAGAUGCAUUAGGUGCCCGUAAGGGAAAGUGGACACAGGUGCUGCAUGGCUGUCGUCAGCUCGUGUCGUGAGGUGUUGGGUUAAGUCCCGCAACGAGCGCAACCCUUGCCAUUAAUUGCCAUCAUUUAGUUGGGCACUUUAAUGGGACUGCCGGUGACAAACCGGAGGAAGGUGGGGAUGACGUCAAGUCCUCAUGGCCCUUAUGGCCAGGGCUUCACACGUAAUACAAUGGUCGGUACAGAGAGUUGCCAACCCGCGAGGGGUAGCUAAUCUCAGAAAGCCGAUCGUAGUCC